AGCGAACGCUGGCGGCAGGCCUAACACAUGCAAGUCGAACGAACCUUUCGGGGUUAGUGGCGGACGGGUGAGUAACACGUGGGAACGUGCCUUUAGGUUCGGAAUAACUCAGGGAAACUUGUGCUAAUACCGAAUGUGCCCUUCGGGGGAAAGAUUAAUCGCCUUUAGAGGGGCCCGCGUCUGAUUAGAUAGUUGGUUGAGGUAAUGGCUCACCAAGGCGACGGUCAGUAGCUGGUCUGAGAGGAUGAUCAGCCACAUUGGGACUGAGACACGGCCCAAACUCCUACGGGAGGAAGCAGUGGGGAAUCUUGCGCAAUGGGCGAAAGACUGACGCAGCCAUGCCGCGUGAAUGAUGAAGGUCUUAGGAUUGUAAAAUUCUUUCACCGGGGACGAUAAUGACGGUACCCGGAGAAGAAGCCCCGGCUAACUUCGUG
rnacentral:rRNA from 1 species